CCAGAUGUUUCCAUCGAGAGAGGAUCCACUUUGCAUUAUCAGCUCAUGCUUCAGCGCUCUGCGAGUGUUUAUAGUCCUGUGACUUUAACACUUCAUGACUGAGAGCUGCUGCUCAGCGACUUCACCCACAGCAACCAUGAGUUUGAUCAGCGUCUUCAUCUGCACACUGGCCCUCUGCGCUCGAGGAUCCAGAGGUCAGGUGACUGUGACUCAGAGUCCUGCAGUGAAAUCUGUUUCUCCAGGAGACACACUCACCAUCAGCUGUAAAACCAGUCCUGCUGUUUACAAUCUCCUUCGUGUUUAUCUUUUGUCCUGGUAUCAGCAGAAAGCUGGAGAAGCUCCUAAACUCCUGAUCUAUAAUGCUAACACUAGAGAAUCAGGUAUUCCAGCUCGUUUCAGUGGCAGUGGAUCUGGAUCUGAUUUCACUCUGACCAUCAGUGGAGUCCAGACUGAAGAUGCUGGAGAUUAUUACUGUCAGAGUUACCAUAAGAUCAGUAGCAGCGCGGUGUUCACACAGUGUAAGAGCGUCGUACAAAAACCUGGGUGGAAACACCAAGAAUCAAAACUGUUCACACACCAAUCCGACAGAUCAAAAGGCCAGGGGUCAGUUCACUUGUCGAGGGUAGAGGAAGAGGACAAGGAGAGGAGGUGGAAGAGGAAGAGGAAGGACAAGGAGAUGUAA